GACGAACGCUGGCGGCGUGCUUAACACAUGCAAGUCGAACGGAAAGGCCCUGCUUUUGUGGGGUGCUCGAGUGGCGAACGGGUGAGUAACACGUGAGUAACCUGCCCUUGACUUUGGGAUAACUUCAGGAAACUGGGGCUAAUACCGGAUAGGAGCUCCCGCUGCAUGGUGGGGGUUGGAAAGUUUCGGCGGUUGGGGAUGGACUCGCGGCUUAUCAGCUUGUUGGUGGGGUAGUGGCUUACCAAGGCUUUGCCGGGUAGCCGGCCUGAGAGGGUGACCGGCCACGUUGGGACUGAGAUACGGCCCAGACUCCAACGGGAGGCAGCAGUGGGGAAUAUUGCACAAUGGGCGGGAGCCUGAUGCAGCAACGCCGCGUGCGGGAUGACGGCCUUCGGGUUGUAAACCGCUUUCGCCUGUGACGAAGCGUGAGUGACGGUAAUGGGUAAAGAAGCACCGGCUAACUACGUG
rnacentral:rRNA from 1 species